rnacentral:rRNA from 1 species
CUACGGGCUGCAGCAGUGGGGAAUAUUGGACAAUGGGCGCAAGCCUGAUCCAGCAAUACCGCGUGUGUGAAGAAGGCCUGCGGGUUGUAAAGCACUUUCAACUGUGAAGAAAAGCGAGAGGUUAAUAGCCUUUUGUCUUGACGUUAACUUUAGAAGAAGCACCGGCUAACUCUGUGCCAGCAGCCGCGGUAAUACAGAGGGUGCGAGCGUUAAUCGGAAUUACUGGGCGUAAAGCGUGCGUAGGCGGUUUAGUAAGUCAGAUGUGAAAGCCCUGGGCUCAACCUGGGAACUGCAUUUGAACUGCUGAACUAGAGUGUGGUAGAGGGAAGUGGAAUUCCGGGUGUAGCGGUGAAAUGCGUAGAUAUCCGGAGGAACACCAGUGGCGAAGGCGACUUCCUGGACCAACACUGACGCUGAGGUACGAAAGCGUGGGUAGCAAACAGGAUUAGAUACCCCGGUAGUC